GGAGAGGUGACCGAGCGGUCGAAGGUGCACGCCUGGAGAGCGUGUGUACCCCUUGGGUACCGAGGGUUCGAAUCCCUCCCUCUCCGCCA
rnacentral:tRNA from 1 species